GGAGAGAUGGUUGAGUGGUUGAUAGCUCCGGUAUUGAAAACCGACAUAGUUCUUUGUUCAGAACCAUCGAGGGUUCGAAUCCCUCUCUUCUUU
rfam:Beta vulgaris subsp. vulgaris chromosome 5, whole genome shotgun sequence.